rnacentral:tRNA from 1 species
CUGCCCGCUGGGCCUCUAGGAACCGGGCCCGGAAGCUCCGGAGUGGGUUCAGGGGCUGAAGCGGUAGCCCAUGCCCGGCUCGGUGAUCAGGUGGACGGG